GCUGGGCAUGGUGGCUCAUGCCUGUAAUCCCAGAACUUUGGGAGGCCGAGGUGGGAGGAUCACUUGAGGUCAGGAGUUCGAGACCAGCCUGGCCAACAUGGUGAAACCCCAUCUCUA
rnacentral:SRP_RNA from 1 species